UGGGGAAUAUUGGACAAUGGGCGCAAGCCUGAUCCAGCCAUGCCGCGUGAGUGAUGAAGGCCCUAGGGUUGUAAAGCUCUUUCAACGGUGAAGAUAAUGACGGUAACCGGAGAAGAAGCCCCGGCUAACUUCGUGCCAGCAGCCGCGGUAAUACGAAGGGGGCUAGCGUUGUUCGGGAUUACUGGGCGUAAAGCGCACGUAGGCGGAUCGGUCAGUUAGGGGUGAAAUCCCAGGGCUCAACCCUGGAACUGCCUUUAAUACUGCCGAUCUGGAGUCCGGAAGAGGUGAGUGGAAUUCCGAGUGUAGAGGUGAAAUUCGUAGAUAUUCGGAAGAACACCAGUGGCGAAGGCGGCUCACUGGCCCGGUACUGACGCUGAGAUGCGAAAGCGUGGGGAGCAAACA
rnacentral:rRNA from 1 species